rnacentral:rRNA from 1 species
CGCUAAACGGGGUGCCGCGUAUGGGAAGUUCGCAGAGCGAUUACGGCUCGUUCAAGUAUUUAUUGAACAUAGUCCAAGUGCCCAUAGAGGGUGUAAGGCCCGUUCGACGAGUCGUAAACGUCUCCCGCGUUCUUCCCGAGAGUCGGGUUGCUUGAGAAUGCAGCCCUAAGAGGUGGUAAACUCCAUCUAAGGCUAAAUACUUCCACGAGACCGAUAGCGAACAAGUACCGCGAGGGAAAGUUGAAAAGAACUUUGAAGAGAGAGUUCAAUAGAGCGUGAAACUGCCACGAGGUUAAAGCGGAUGGACGGUCGUGGCAGAACAGGGGGAUUCAACCCUCCGGACGUUUGUGAGGCGCUCGCGCGCGUGACGACCGACUCCUCGGCUUCUCUCGGUACUCGUUGCCAGGUUGUCGGGGAGGUUAAAACUGGCGUUCGCCGCGUUGCCGGUCUCCUCGUACUCGAAGGAGGGUUGUACCUUUCACCUUAGUAAGCCGUCGCGGUCGUUGUGGCGUUGUCGAUUACCCUUCGGUUCGGGAACCGACCCCCAAAGCUCUCCGGAAAAAUUUUUUUUCCGGUCCGCGAGUAGGGGCCGGGGACGCCGUUGGAAUACGACGGACGCCUGCGACGAUACUGAUAGCAGACGGGUCGGUUCAAUAAAGAAUUGGGCGGAGGUGGGGCUCUCCCGCGUUCUCUCACGAGUUCGCGAGAGCGUCACCCCUCGAUUAAACGCUCCGACCCGUGCGCGGCGCAUAUACGGCGCACGUCUAUCCGUCCCGUCUUGAAACACGGACCAAGGAGUCUAGCAAGUGCGCGAGUCAUAAGGGUUCACUAAACCUUAGAUGGCGUAACGAAAGUAAUGUAAGAUAUCGGUUUUGGGAGCAAUUCCAUAACCUCGUUGGACCGAUCCCCUCGGAAAUGCCUCGUUUUUCACCCUUCACGGGGUGGCGAGGCCGCUACCAAUGUAUGAGGGGCGCAGGUCCGGAGGCCCGCCAUAUUAUCCUCUCUCUCCGUUCUUAAAUCCGACCUCCCUCCUUCGCGGGGAUCAGUGGGCCGGGCGGGGAAGAAGAUAGGCGGGUUCCAAGAGCGUUCGUGCUAGUACCCGAAAGAUGGUGAUCUAUGCCUGGCCAGGAUGAAGCCAGAGGAAACUCUGGUGGAGGUCCGUAGCGGUUCUGACGUGCAAAUCG